rnacentral:rRNA from 1 species
UACGUAGGGGGCGAGCGUUGUCCGGAAUCAUUGGGCGUAAAGAGCGUGUAGGCGGCUUGGCAAGUCUGACGUGAAAGCCCGCGGCUCAACCGCGGGUUGUCGUUGGAAACUGCCUCGCUAGAGUCCGGAAGAGGAGAGCGGAAUUCCUGGUGUAGCGGUGGAAUGCGCAGAUAUCAGGAAGAACACCCGUGGCGAAGGCGGCUCUCUGGGACGGUACUGACGCUGAGACGCGAAAGCGUGGGGAGCGAACAGG